rnacentral:rRNA from 1 species
AGCAGCCGCGGUAAUUCCAGCUCCAAUAGCGUAUAUUAAAGUUGUUGCAGUUAAAAAGCUCGUAGUUGAAUUUCGGGAUUGGCGCAUCGGUCGUGCCUCACGGGGUAUGAACUGGUGCAGUCAAUUUCUCACCUUCUGGAGAACCGCGAUGUCCUUAAUUGGAUGCCGCGGGGAACCAGGACCUUUACUUUGAAAAAAUUAGAGUGUUUAAAGCAGGCAUUUUUGCUUGAAUACAUUAGCAUGGAAUAAUAAAAUAGGACGGCAUGGUUCUAUUUUGUCGGUUUCUAGGACCACCGUAAUGAUUAAUAGGGAUAGUUGGGGGCAUUAGUAUUCAAUUGUCAGAGGUGAAAUUCUUGGAUUUAUUGAAGACUAACUACUGCGAAAGCAUUUGCCAAGGAUGUUUUCAUUAAUCAAGAACAAAAGUUAGGGGAUCGAAGACGAUCAGAUACC